ensembl:lncRNA
CUGGAAGUCCUCUAGUUCAAUUUUCUCUGUUUUAGGAAUCCCUUCUCUAGCGUCUCUCUCUUGGCAUCUGAAUACCUCCAUGGUUGGGAUGCUCACCACCUCAAGGUGAAGUCAGUAUUACUCACUCUUCACAAGCUCCAAAUGUUACACAGUCCUUUCUGGAUUAGUCUGCAAUCUGCCUGCCUCCAACCACAUUGACAAAUUGAUGGCCGUCUCACCAUCUUGGCAACAUGGAGCACCCCACAUCCUUUUCCGCAAGAUGGAGAAAAUUUUUUAGAACUGGAGCUCCGUGAAAGAUUCUGUGACCCACACUGUUCAAGUGGAAAAGCCCAAGAUUGGGAAUUAGUUUUUUUGGGUUCUAGUUGUGGCUGUCUAACUUUGGGCAUUUAUUUCACCUCGCUGAGCCUCAUCUACAAUAAAAGCAAGUUUGGUUCUAGAAUCCUGUGCUUCCUUUAUCUUUUUUUGACCCAAAUAUACUCUGAGGAUUCUGUUAAGAGAGAGUUAGCUCACCACCAGUUGAAGACCUCCCAAGAUGAACAAACUGUGGUAGCUCACUACCACUUCUGUGGCUCACCUAGGCAUGGAUAAAACCAAGUAGAUUUGCAUUAAGCCAACACACACCACUAGCCAAGCCUUCUUGGAAAGAACAGUUUAUACUGUUGAAUGCCCUCUUGACAAAUUACUUGCAAAGAGCAUGAAUCACACUUGAGUCCAUUGCAAAACUCAUCACAUUUUCCACCAGGGCCCAGGAGAAUUUUCAGAGGGGAGGGAAGAUAUGGUCGUUUACCCCUGGGGCUGUUUGUCAGAAUGAUAAAGAAACUAUUCUGGGCAGAUAGGACCUCAUAAAAUAGCUGUCUGCUGGAGGCUUUGCAGUGACUUUGAUGUUCUGCAGGCGAAAACCAUCACAAGCGUGGGUGGGCCAGGCCCAGCCCAAGAUGAACUGGAAGGCAUCCUUUCUUGAACUUCUCAUUCAUUCAACAACUCUUUAUUCAGCACCAGCGAGCUACCAGGCUUGACCAUUAGCAGGAUCAUCAGCAGCAGCAGAGGCUUAUUUUUGUAACACUCCUGCUGAAAUUGGGUAUUACCAUUUAAAAAUCUUCACUAAUUUUAGAAGUGAAAAAGGUUUCCACUGUGGUUUUAAUUUGAAUUUCUGAUUCUUGACAUUUUACAGUUUUUAAAAUUUAAUUGUAAUUUCUCUUUUACAAAUUUUCCACAUAUACAUUAGGAUCUUAGUAGGUGUGGAAGGAACAGAUGCCAGGAGAAUACCUAAUGAUCCAUGAGCAUAGGAGCUAUGUUACAACUGUGGUGCCGAUGAUACGGGAUGUGUGAAUGACACUGAGGACCCACCAGACGCCAGGCACACACCUGGGUCUUCUCUCUGCCUGGCUGUGAGCUAGCUGUGACCACCUGAUGCUGGUUGCUGCUCUGCCUCUCUGACCCCCUCAUGACCU